GUCAUUCCAAUAAAACCCAUCAAAAUCAUAAGUUCUUGCUUUGCUAUAUAUAAUCUGAAGUCAAUUGAAGAUUCAAGAAAGAUGAGAAUUAGUAUAAAGAACCUUAAACCAGACAGCUUCAGGGCCACAGUUAGCACCGUAUUUGUUUAAGGCUUCAGGGAUGAUGAAACCAGCUGCUCCCAACAUAGCCCAUCUCGCGUGGAUCAAUUCAAAGGCUUGGUAUCUAGCAACCACAUUCAUUACACAACCAGUCUUAAUGACAUUGACAAAUUUGAGAGAUAAGAGAUGGAACUAACGAAACAGGUAUUAGAGCAGAGAAUCUGCUUACUUAGCAAAGUUCUCAGGCUUCUUUCCAAGUCCAAAUGGGUCAUAGCCA
rnacentral:lncRNA from 1 species